GACGAACGCUGGCGGCGUGCUUAACACAUGCAAGUCGAACGGAAAGGCCCUGCUUUUGUGGGGUGCUCGAGUGGCGAACGGGUGAGUAACACGUGAGUAACCUGCCCUUGACUUUGGGAUAACUUCAUGAAACUGGUGCUAAUACCGGAUAGGAGCUCCUGCUGCAUGGUGGGGGUUGGAAAGUUUCGGCGGUUGGGGAUGGACUCGCGGCUUAUCAGCUUGUUGGUGGGGUAGUGGCUUACCAAGGCUUUGACGGGUAGCCGGCCUGAGAGGGUGACCGGCCACAUUGGGACUGAGAUAAGGCCCAGAACUCUACGGGAGGCAGCAGUGGGGAAUAUUGCACAAUGGGAGGAAGACUGAUGCAGAAAAGCCGCGUGCGGGAUGACGGCCUUCGGGUUGUAAACCGUUUUCGCCUGUGACGAAGAGUGAGUGACGGUAAUGGGUAAAGAAGCACCGGCUAACUACGUG
rnacentral:rRNA from 1 species